UACGUAGGCAGCAAGCGUUGUUCGGAGUUACUGGGCGUAAAGGGUGCGUAGGCGGCUUUUUAAGUUUGGUGUGAAAUCUCCCGGCUCAACUGGGAGGGUGCGCCGAAUACUGAGGGACUAGAGUGCGGGAGAGGAAAGUGGAAUUCCUGGUGUAGCGGUGAAAUGCGUAGAUAUCAGGAGGAACACCGGUGGUGUAGACGGCUUUCUGGACCGUAACUGACGCUGAGACACGAAAGCGUGGGUAGCAAACAGG
rnacentral:rRNA from 1 species